rnacentral:rRNA from 1 species
UACAGAGGUCCCAAGCGUUGUUCGGAUUCACUGGGCGUAAAGGGUGCGUAGGCGGCCCUAUAAGUCAGUGGUGAAAUAUCGCAGCUUAACUGUGAGGGUGCCAUUGAUACUGUAGGGCUUGAGUGAAUUUGAGGUAGGCGGAAUUGACGGUGUAGCGGUGAAAUGCUUAGAUAUCGUCAAGAACACCGAUAGUGAAGACAGCUUACCAAGCUUCAACUGACGCUGAGGCACGAAAGUGUGGGGAUCAAACAGG